rnacentral:rRNA from 1 species
CUGGCUCAGAUUGAACGCUGGCGGCAGGCCUAACACAUGCAAGUCGAGCGGCAGCGACAUGAUAGAAGCUUCGGUGGAAAUCAUGGGCGGCGAGCGGCGGACGGGUGAGUAAUGCCUGGGAAUAUGCCCUGAUGUGGGGGAUAACUAUUGGAAACGAUAGCUAAUACCGCAUAAUCUCUUCGGAGCAAAGAGGGGGACCUUCGGGCCUCUCGCGUCAGGAUUAGCCCAGGUGGGAUUAGCUUGUUGGUGAGGUAAUGGCUCACCAAGGCAACGAUCCCUAGCUGGUCUGAGAGGAUGAUCAGCCACACUGGAACUGAGACACGGUCCAGACUCCUACGGGAGGCAGCAGUGGGGAAUAUUGCACAAUGGGGGAAACCCUGAUGCAGCCAUGCCGCGUGUAUGAAGAAGGCCUUCGGGUUGUAAAGUACUUUCAGUAGGGAGGAAGGCAGUGUCGUUAAUAGCGGCAUUGUUUGACGUUACCUACAGAAGAAGCACCGGCUAACUCCGUGCCAGCAGCCGCGGUAAUACGGAGGGUGCGAGCGUUAAUCGGAAUUACUGGGCGUAAAGCGCAUGCAGGCGGUCUGUUAAGCAAGAUGUGAAAGCCCGGGGCUCAACCUCGGAACAGCAUUUUGAACUGGCAGACUAGAGUCUUGUAGAGGGGGGUAGAAUUUCAGGUGUAGCGGUGAAAUGCGUAGAGAUCUGAAGGAAUACCGGUGGCGAAAGCGGCCCCUGGACAAAGACUGACGCUCAGAUGCGAAAGCGUGGGGAGCAAACAGGAUUAGAUACCCUGGUAGUCCACGCCGUAAACGAUGUCUACUUGGAGGUUGUGGCCUUGAGCCGUGGCUUUCGGAGCUACGCGUAGAGACCGCUGGCCUGGGGAAUACGGUCGCAAGAUUAAACUCAAAUGAAUUGACGGGGCCCGCACAAGCGGUGGAGCAUGGUGGUUAAUUCAGUGCAACGCGAAAACUUAACCUACUCUUUUGAUCUCAAGAGAAUUUCCAAAGAUUGCCUGUGCUCUCCGGAU